rnacentral:rRNA from 1 species
CUUGGCGACCAUAGCGUUGCGGACCCACCUGAUUCCAUGCCGAACUCAGAAGUGAAACGCAGUAGCGCCGAUGGUAGUGUGGGGCUUCCCCAUGUGAGAGUAGGACAUCGCCAGGC